rnacentral:rRNA from 1 species
UACGUAGGUGGCGAGCGUUGUCCGGAUUUACUGGGCGUAAAGCGUGCGCAGGCGGCUGCUCAAGUCAGGGGUGAAAGCCCAGAGCUCAACUCUGGAAUUGCCUUUGAGACUGAGUGGCUUGAGUACGGGAGAGGUGAGUGGAAUUCCCAGUGUAGAGGUGAAAUUCGUAGAUAUUGGGAAGAACACCGGUGGCGAAGGCGGCCCACUGGUCCGGUACUGACGCUGAGGUGCGAAAGCGUGGGGAGCAAACAGG